UACCAGCUGGCUGCAACUGUUUAUUAAAAACACAGCACUGUGCAAACACGAAAGUGGACGUAUACGGUGUGACGCCUGCCCGGUGCCGGAAGGUUAAUUGAUGGGGUCAGCGCAAGCGAAGCUCCUGAUCGAAGCCCCGGUAAACGGCGGCCGUAACUAUAACGGUCCUAAGGUAGCGAAAUUCCUUGUCGGGUAAGUUCCGACCUGCACGAAUGGCGUAAUGAUGGCCAGGCUGUCUCCACCCGAGACUCAGUGAAAUUGAACUCGCUGUGAAGAUGCAGUGUACCCGCGGCAAGACGGAAAGACCCCGUGAACCUUUACUAUAGCUUGACACUGAACAUUGAGCCUUGAUGUGUAGGAUAGGUGGGAGGCUUUGAAGCGUGGACGCCAGUCUGCGUGGAGCCGACCUUGAAAUACCACCCUUUAAUGUUUGAUGUUCUAACGUGGACCCGUAAUCCGGGUUGCGGACAGUGUCUGGUGGGUAGUUUGACUGGGGCGGUCUCCUCCUAAAGAGUAACGGAGGAGCACGAAGGUUGGCUAAUCCUGGUCGGACAUCAGGAGGUUAGUGCAAUGGCAUAAGCCAGCUUGACUGCGAGCGUGACGGCGCGAGCAGGUGCGAAAGCAGGUCAUAGUGAUCCGGUGGUUCUGAAUGGAAGGGCCAUCGCUCAACGGAUAAAAGGUACUCCGGGGAUAACAGGCUGAUACCGCCCAAGAGUUCAUAUCGACGGCGGUGUUUGGCACCUCGAUGUCGGCUCAUCACAUCCUGGGGCUGAAGUAGGUCCCAAGGGUAUGGCUGUUCGCCAUUUAAAGUGGUACGCGAGCUGGGUUUAGAACGUCGUGAGACAGUUCGGUCCCUAUCUGCCGUGGGCGCUGGAAGACUGAGGGGGGCUGCUCCUAGUACGAGAGGACCGGAGUGGACGCAUCACUGGUGUUCGGGUUGUCAUGCCAAUGGCACUGCCCGGUAGCUAAAUGCGGAAAAGAUAAGUGCUGAAAGCAUCUAAGCACGAAACUUGCCCCGAGAUGAGUCUUCCCUGAGACUUUGAGUCUCCUGAAGGAACGUUAAAGACGAUGACGUUGAUAGGCCGGGUGUGUAAGCGCAGCGAUGCGUUGAGCUAACCGGUACUAAUGAACCGUGAGGCUUAACCUUACAAC
rnacentral:rRNA from 1 species